rnacentral:rRNA from 1 species
UAGAGUUUGAUCCUGGCUCAGAUUGAACGCUGGCGGCAGGCCUAACACAUGCAAGUCGAGCGGUAGAGAGAAGCUUGCUUCUCUUGAGAGCGGCGGACGGGUGAGUAAUGCCUAGGAAUCUGCCUGGUAGUGGGGGAUAACGUUCGGAAACGGACGCUAAUACCGCAUACGUCCUACGGGAGAAAGCAGGGGACCUUCGGGCCUUGCGCUAUCAGAUGAGCCUAGGUCGGAUUAGCUAGUUGGUGAGGUAAUGGCUCACCAAGGCGACGAUCCGUAACUGGUCUGAGAGGAUGAUCAGUCACACUGGAACUGAGACACGGUCCAGACUCCUACGGGAGGCAGCAGUGGGGAAUAUUGGACAAUGGGCGAAAGCCUGAUCCAGCCAUGCCGCGUGUGUGAAGAAGGUCUUCGGAUUGUAAAGCACUUUAAGUUGGGAGGAAGGGUUGUAGAUUAAUACUCUGCAAUUUUGACGUACCGACAGA